GGAGACGUCGCAUAGCCCGGUCGAGUGCGCCUCACUGCUAAUGAGGUAGACCUGUUAAAGGGUCUCGGAGGUUCAAAUCCUCUCGUCUCCGCCA
rnacentral:tRNA from 1 species